rnacentral:rRNA from 1 species
GUACGCUGGCGGCACGCCUAACACAUGCAAGUCGAACGAAGUAGCAAUACUUAGUGGCAGACGGGUGAGUAACAUGUAGGUAUCUGCCCUUUGGCCUGGAAUAACACGAGGAAACUUGUGCUAAUACCGGAUAAGUCUUUACGGAGAAAGCUUUAUGCACCAUUGGAUGAGCCUGCACUUGAUUAGUUUGUUGGUGGGGUAAUGGCCUACCAAGACUGUGAUCAAUAGCUGAUUUGAGAGGAUGAUCAGCCACAUUGGGACUGAGACACGGCCCAAACUCCUACGGGAGGCAGCAGUGGGGAAUCUUGCACAAUGGAGGAAACUCUGAUGCAGCGAUGCCGCGUGAGUGAAGAAGGCCCUUGGGUUGUAAAGCUCUUUCGUCGGGGAAGAAAAUGACUGUACCCGAAUAAGAAGGUCCGGCUAA